rnacentral:lncRNA from 1 species
CCCCAGGGCCUGGCCUCCGACUCGGCCCGACCAGGUGGUGCUGUGAGCUCAUCUAGCGCUCUUUUGUUUGGUAGUUUGGACUUUUUCUUGACAGCAUGUUGCCUUUUUCGGAUUUUGUUUGUUUUCUAAUUUUAUUUCAUUUUUGUUUUGUUUUGUUUUCCCUGGGGAGGGGAGGAAGAAGAGCGUUUGCAAAUUUUGUAGCCGCCCACUUUACUGUUUUCACUUUUGCAUAUGUAAAUCGGGUUUGGUUUUACUGUAUUCUUUAAAUGGUUGUGGUUUCCUUUUUUCAUUAUCCACGGAGGGAGGGCUCAAUAGAAGCCGCGCUCGGGGAGUUUUACCAGCCAUUGGGUAUGCCCAAUAAUUUGUUAUUAUUUCCUGAGAGCUACCAAGCAAAGCGCCCAUCCACGAAAAGGGAUCCAUUCAAAGCCCUUCCAUCUCUCCACUCCUUGUGUCCUGCUCAGCCCACCUCUGUCCACCCCAACCCCAUCUGCAUUAUGUAUCAUGCCUGUCCUCAGAGCUGGACAGUGCCUCUGUGUCACCACCCCCACACACCCGCCCCUCCAGGCUCCACGAUGUCACAGUCUGACUGUUGUAAAUAUUGUUGUACAGUUUGUAAUCGCCAAAUACUCCCUCGCCUGCCGCACCUUCUCACCCUUGAGGAAGGCCAGGGAAUCUAGAAGGGGAAGCCUUUCCAAGAGAGCUUCAGGGUCAUCUCUGUGUGAGAUGCUAUUGUAUAUCCUGUAAGAUUGCAUUUUUAUCUAAGGAAUGAUGUUAUUUAAAAAACAAAAAAAAAACACAAAAAAUAAGAAUUGCAAAUAAAUUUCUUAACAAUGUCUGUCUUGUUUUCAUUAUUUUCUUCCCUCUUCCACAUCCUUUUUCUCCUGUCCCCCAGAGAUCAUAAAAAUCUCAAUUAACUCAAUUGUGUGGGAUCUUCCAAAGGAGAGUAAGGCGGGAGCAAACAUGGGAAAUAUGAGUGCAGUGGUAAUACCCGACCUCCUGUCAGCUGACCUCAUAACCCACUUCCUUCCAAUGAAAGCAUUAACGGAGAAAUGACCAAAGGUAGAAAAGGAGGCAGACGGACUAGGAGUAAUUAACUGGAUAAUCCCAAAGUGGAAGCAGAUGACCACACACACACACACACACACACACACAAAUAGAGAAAACAUUAAAUUUAUUCUGAAUAAAGGAAAAAAGAGAGGAAGGUGAGGAUGUGAUAGGAAAGAAACAAGGCCUGAGAACAUAUGUAAAGUGCUUUGAAGUCUAUAAAAAGCAAGGCCAUUCAUGUUCAUUAUUAUAACCUAAACUGACCAGGAAAAAGCCUCCAGAAUAAUUGUUUAAGUUUUAAAUAGUUUGUCCCAGAAGAUUUUGCGAAGACAGCAGAAGGAAGACAGCACAGGAAACUAUCCCCCACCU